AGGCUCAAACAUCCUGCAGCAGUCGACCAGGAUGAGAGUCAGCAGCAUCCCCACUCCUCACCUGCUGCUGGUGAUGCUUCAGAGUAUGAACCCAUGAGAGGCUCUACAGAUGCUGAACAAGGGGAACCUUCAGAGGAAUACGUCCUUCCUCAACAAGCUUCUAUCAAGGAUCAGGACAAGGUUGAUGAGAACUAAUAGACAGGAAGGUCGUCUUCGUGCAUUUUAUCUGAUUCUGAGAAGUGAUUAAAGGACCAUAAUGUUAGCUUC